rnacentral:rRNA from 1 species
AUGGUGGCCACAAGCCCACAACUCUCUCACUCUCUCCUCAAGCCGCCCCUCCUGUUCGUCCCCACCGCCGGCGCGAGGUCUCGCACUCUUCCCACUCUUCUCAGCCCCUCCUCUUCGAAUCGGUCGCCGAAGUGCCCGAGGAUCCGCUCGAGCUCGGUAUGGUCGCUGGGCGCCGGACGAAGGCCGACGCGGAGGCGCGGGACUUGCCUCCACCAGAUCGGCGGCUGUGGCAAUCAUGUGUCGCAACCUCCGCGGCUGAUGCCUUCCUUUCCAUCUCGCUCGUCGGCGGCUCCCACCACCCUGUGCGUGCGACUGCGCUGCGCCGUGCAAUGCCCAUGUGCGGCAGCAGUGCCGCGGUGA